UACGUAGGGUGCGAGCGUUGUCCGGAAUUACUGGGCGUAAAGAGCUCGUAGGUGGUUUGUCGCGUCGUCUGUGAAAUUCCGGGGCUUAACUCCGGGCGUGCAGGCGAUACGGGCAUAACUUGAGUACUGUAGGGGAGACUGGAAUUCCUGGUGUAGCGGUGAAAUGCGCAGAUAUCAGGAGGAACACCGGUGGCGAAGGCGGGUCUCUGGGCAGUAACUGACGCUGAGGAGCGAAAGCAUGGGGAGCGGACAGGAUUAGAUACCCUGGUAGUCAAGGGCG
rnacentral:rRNA from 1 species